UACGUAGGGGGCAAGCGUUGUCCGGAUUUAUUGGGCGUAAAGAGCGUGUAGGCGGCCAGGUAGGUCUGCUGUGAAAUCUCCGGGCUCAACCCGGAAACUGCAUUGCGAACUGACCUAGCUGGAGUGCAGGAGAGGGCAGCGGAAUUCCCGGUGUAGCGGUGAAAUGCGUAGAUAUCGUAAGGAAGACCAGUGGCGAAGGCGGGUCUCUGGACAGUUCCUGACGCUGAGGCACGAAGGCCAGGGGAGCAAACGGG
rnacentral:rRNA from 1 species